rnacentral:rRNA from 1 species
GACGAACGCUGGCGGCGUGCCUAACACAUGCAAGUCGAACGGAAAGUCCGUGCCUUUGUGCGGUGCUCGAGUGGCGAACGGGUGAGUAACACGUGAGUAACCUGUCCCUGACUUUGGGGUAUCUUCAUGACACUGGGGCUAUUAGCGGAUAGGAUCUCCUGCUGCAUGGUGGGCGUUGGUAAGUUUCGGCGGUUGGGGGUGGACUCGCGGCUUAUCAGCUUGUUCGUGGGGUAGUGGAUUACCAUGGCUUGGACGGGUAGCCGGCCUGAGAGGGUGGCCGGCCACAUGACGACUGAGAUACGGCACAGCCUCGAACGGUACGCAGCGGUGGAGAAUAUUGCACAGUAGGAGGGAGCCUGAUGUGACAACGCAGCGUGCGGGAUGACGGGCUUCGAGUAGUGAACCACUGUCGCCUUAGCCGAAGCGUUAGUGACGGUAACGGGUAAAGAAGCACCGGCUAACUACGUG